UCUGGUGAUUUGAGCGGUGCGGCACCACCCGUUCCCUUCCCGAACACGGCAGUGAAACGCGCCAGCGCAGACGAUACUGAGGGGGCAACUCCUUGAGGAAAAUAUGCCACCGCCAGAA
rnacentral:rRNA from 1 species